rnacentral:lncRNA from 10 species
GUUUACCUGCAUGGAAGGUAUAAUUAUAAACAUAUAAAACUGUCCAGGCGCAGUGGCUCACACCUGUAAUCCCAGCACUUUGGGAGGCCAAUGCGGGCAGAUCACGUGAGAUCAGGAGUUCGAGAUCAGCCUGGCCAACAUGGUGAAACUCCAUCUCUACUAAAAAUACAAAAAUUAGCCAGGCGUGGUGGCAGGUGCCUGUAAUCCCAGCUACCUGGGAAGCUGAGGCAGGAGAGUUGCUUGAACCUGGGAGGCGGAGGUUGCAGUGUGCUGAGAUUGUGCCACUGCACUCCAGCCUGGGUGACAGAUUGA